UACAGAGGGUGCGAGCGUUGUCCGGAAUCACUGGGCGUAAAGGGCGCGUAGGCGGCUUGAUAAGCGUGCGGUGAAAGCCCGGGGCUCAACCCCGGGUCGGCCGUGCGAACUGUCGAGCUGGAGCACUGUAGAGGCAGGUGGAAUUCCGGGUGUAGCGGUGGAAUGCGUAGAGAUCCGGAAGAACACCGGGUCGGCGAAGGCGGCCUGCUGGGCAGUGGCUGACGCUGAGGCGCGACAGCGUGGGGAGCAAACAGG
rnacentral:rRNA from 1 species